UAGGGAAUCUUCCACAAUGGACGCAAGUCUGAUGGAGCAACGCCGCGUGAGUGAAGAAGAUCUUCGGAUCGUAAAAACUCUGUUGUUAGAGAAGAACACGAGUGAGAGUAACUGUUCAUUCGAUGACGGUAUCUAACCAGCAAGUCACGGCUAACUACGUGCCUG
rnacentral:rRNA from 1 species